UGCUUCUCAAAAUCUCAGUUUCCAUGAGGACCAGAUUAGAAAACUUCAGCUAAAUCGAAGUUAAUGCUUUAAGGCAGUAUUAUUGGUAUUAUUGAAAAUAUUAGGGACUAUAGUAAUAUAAUUCUACAGAAUAUAAGAAAGAGAUGAAAAUAAAUAUACUUACAGGGGCUUAGAUAGAAAAAUGACCUUCCUUUACUUUGAUCGAAGCGGUCGCCUGUGGCGAAGAGGAUCCACCGUCUCGCCAUGGACUACAGCCUCGCGGCGUUGAAGCUCUUCUGCGGCGAACUCAAGGAUGUUUGCGCCGCAUCCGCCUCCGCCUCUUCCUCUGCCGCCACCCUAUUCGGCAUCCUCUUCCAGCGCGCCUGGCUGCAGGGUGUUUUGGUGUCGGGCACCGAUGAGGGGCGCUUCCUUCUCGAUGACGGCUCCGACGUCGUCGAGCUCCUCCUCUCCGCCGAAUCCCAGCCCCAGCAGUGGAAGAUUGGGAUGUACGUGAUGGUCGUCGGGCCGUACGUCGCCGCUCAAUCCGGUGGCCUUUCCACGAUCAGGGUACCUUCUCUUGCUCGAACUCCAUACUAGGUUACCCAGGCAGAGAAUCUUGGAUAGGGUUUUAUGAAGUAUAUUGGGGAUUGAGGAAAAAAAGGUUCAUAAGAUGGUGGAUCUCUCGCAACAUCCUGAUCGGGAAGCAAUGUGGCAUUUGGAAGUCAUGGAAGCUCAUAAGUUGUUCUACCUCCCAUCACCCCAGUAACAGUUCUCUUCCUCGUACGCACAUCAUGGUCCGGCAAUGAACAGAGAAAUUGUUUGCGGAUCAUUUAAAGCUGUCGUUCUGCGACAAUUUGCUGCAUGUCCAAGAAUCUCAGAGGAUUUCAUGUUCUUCAACUAUGGCUUGUGAAAAACAUUUUGUCAAAGUGUUUUCUAAAUAUUUGAUCUUUUUGUCUAUCUGGUUUAGUAUUAGGUUUAGUAUUAGGUCUUUUUGUCAAAGUGUUCUCUAAAUAUUAAAUUGGAUCAAUUUGAGUGCUCUCUAAAUAUUCAAGUGUUA